GUGCCGCCGAAGCCGCCGGGGCUCUCCUUCCACUCCUGGCCGUGGUGCUUCUGGGCGUGGACGCGGAGAUAAGUCAGCGUGGUGAAGCCUGGUGGAGAGCAGGGGUCAGAGCAGAGGUGGCAGACGUGGUGCUGCGACUGGUUGUGCACCCUCAUGUGAUCGGUGAUGUACGCGGCGGACAGGAGCUUCCCGCAGAUGUGGCACGGCACUUUCUCCUCGUGACGGAUCAUGUGGGCUCGCAGGCGAUCCUUCGUGGCAAAACACGACUCACAAGUCUGCAGACAGAGGACAGAUGAAGCAACACUGCUCCUGUGGUUCUCUUUCUAACCGCACGGUGUCAAAAACCUGUUCCCCUCCUCACCUGUGGUGGCGCUGCACCAAGAACCACUGAAGGAAGCAACAUAAAAACAUCCAAAGACAUGAGAGCAACGUCCUUCUUUGCAAAAUGUAAAUAAAAAUUGAUUAGCAUCAGA